rnacentral:rRNA from 1 species
ACCCGCUGAACUUAAGCAUAUCAAUAAGCGGAGGAAAAGAAACCAACAGGGAUUGCCCUAGUAACGGCGAGUGAAGCGGCAACAGCUCAAAUUUGAAAUCUGGCUCUCGGGCCCGAGUUGUAAUUUGUAGAGGAUGUUUUUGAUGCGGUGCCUUCCGAGUUCCCUGGAACGGGACGCCAUAGAGGGUGAGAGCCCCGUCUGGUUGGAUGCCAAAUCUCUGUAAAACUCCUUCAACGAGUCGAGUAGUUUGGGAAUGCUGCUCUAAAUGGGAGGUAUAUGUCUUCUAAAGCUAAAUACCGGCCAGAGACCGAUAGCGCACAAGUAGAGUGAUCGAAAGAUGAAAAGCACUUUGAAAAGAGAGUUAAAAAGUACGUGAAAUUGUUGAAAGGGAAGCGUUUAUGACCAGACUUGGGCUUGGUUAAUCAUCUGGGGUUCUCCCCAGUGCACUUUUCCAGUCCAGGCCAGCAUCAGUUUUCCCCGGGGGAUAAAGACUUUGGGAAUGUGGCUCUCCUCGGAGAGUGUUAUAGCCCAUUGUGUAAUACCCUGGGGGGGACUGAGGUUCGCGCAUCUGCAAGGAUGCUGGCGUAAUGGUCAUCAAUGACCCGUCUUGAAACACGGACCAAGGAGUCGUCUUCGUAUGCGAGUGUUCGGGUGUCAAACCCCUACGCGUAAUGAAAGUGAACGCAGGUGAGAGCUUCGGCGCAUCAUCGACCGAUCCUGAUGUUCUCGGAUGGAUUUGAGUAAGAGCAUACGGGGCCGGACCCGAAAGAAGGUGAACUAUGCCUGUAUAGGGUGAAGCCAGAGGAAACUCUGGUGGAGGCUCGCAGCGGUUCUGACGUGCAAAUCGAUCGUCAAA